AGUGAACGCUGGCGGUAGGCCUAACACAUGCAAGUCGAACGGCAGCACAGUAAGAGCUUGCUCUUACGGGUGGCGAGUGGCGGACGGGUGAGGAAUGCAUCGGAAUCUACUUUUUCGUGGGGGAUAACGUAGGGAAACUUACGCUAAUACCGCAUACGACCUACGGGUGAAAGCAGGGGAUCUUCGGACCUUGCGCGAUUGAAUGAGCCGAUGUCGGAUUAGCUAGUUGGCGGGGUAAAGGCCCACCAAGGCGACGCUCCGAAGCUGGUCUGAGAGGAUGAUCAGCCACACUGGAACGGAGACACGGUCCAGACUCCUACGGGAGGCAGCAGUGGGGAAUAUUGGACAAAGGGCGCAAGCCUGAUCCAGCCAGACCGCGUGGGUGAAGAAGGCCUUCGGGUUGUAAAGCCCUUUUGUUGGGAAAGAAAAGCGGCAGAUUGAUACGCCGCUGUUCUGACGGUACCCAAACAAUAAGCACCGGCUAACUUCGUG
rnacentral:rRNA from 1 species